CUGCAGAGCUCACUUCCAGCAGGUCAUCCCCUAACCUGUACUGGUGCAUGCAACUGUUCCUCUUGAGGUACAAGACUCUACACUUGCUCCUGUUAAAUCUCAUCAGGUUCCUCCCUGCCCAACUCUCCCGUCUGUCUAGGUCUUGUUGAAGCCUUCAGGUGUGUCAGCCACUCUUCCCAGCUUCAUAUCAUCAACAGACUUGGUGAGGGUGUAUGCUAUCCCUUUGUCCAGGUCGAUGAAGAAGAUGUUGAACAAGACUGGACCCAGCAUUGACCCCUGGGGAAUGCUGCUAGUUACAUGCCUCCAACCGGACUCUGCGCCACUGAUGACAACCCUCUGAGCUCUGCCAGUCAGCCAGCUGUCAAUCCACCUCACCAUCCACUCAUCUAUCCCACACUUUCGGAGUUUCAUAGCAAAGGUGUUGUGGGAGAUGGUGUCAAAUGCCUUGCUGAAGUCAAGGUACACAAGGGUCACUGCUCUCCCCACAUCUACCCAACUGGUGAUGACAUCAUAGAAGGCUACCAGGUUGGUCAAGCUUGAUUUCCCCUCGGUGAUUCCAUGUUGACUACUUCUGAUAACCUAUUACUCUUCCAAUUGCUUGGAGAAGGCAUCCGGGACAAGUUGUUCCAUCACCUUUCCAGGGAUGGAGGCACCCUGUUUAAAUGCUCUGAAGUUUGUACAGCUGGAAUAUAAACCCUACCUUCCUCACACCGAAUGAAUGGCUGGAGAAGAGCCCUAAAGGCGUGUUCACACCGGUGACACACUACCAGCAGAGACUGCCGUUAAAGACCAUUGCCCCGAUCUUAUCGCACGAAACAACAGCCACGAACAGAGGUGCCCUCCCGCCUCGGCAGCCCUGCCGUACAGCUGCAGGCUGGCUGCGGGGCUCCAGCGCCCAGCAGAGGGAGGCAGAGCCCGCCGCAACCGCUCUGCUCUCUGCUUGGAGCAUCCCUGCAGCUUGGAGGAACAACGCGGUCCCCUCAAAGCCCGUCCAAAAACAACCAUCUCCAUCAGCUCCAGCAUUCUGAGGCAUGUCCGUCACUCUCAAAAGUAACCCGCGUGGAGAUAGCGUGUGGAGGUGCAGAUUGGUGAUGUUCCGGCAUGUCCUGCAAGCCAACCUGUCCACAAAAAUGUUCAUAGACUAAAAGAAAAUGCCAUCUGGGAUCUUAGACACUGAAAUAUCCUGAAAGUUCACAGGGAACCAACACAUGAUCUUUUGGGAGAAUGCCUAUGCAUAGGCAUGUGACCAUCAGUGUAGCAGCAAAUGAGUUGGGCACAUAGAUUACAGCAAGAGUUUUACAGCGGUGUUCCUGCCAGCAUAUGCUUAUCACCCAAAUUCUGCGUUCCUCUGAUUUUCUGCACUUCAAAGGAGAGUAAGAAUGUCCUGCUGUGAAUGGGAGUAAGUAUGAAAACCCCUGAUUACUUCCUGAAAUGAGAUUUGAGGACAAAGCCACAUCUGACUACUUAUUACAGGGGGGCUGCUUUCUGAGCCCAAGGUGUCUGCAACUAAACACUUUGUAAAGCCAAGGCAAAAGUAGCAUUAUGGUGAUGCCGUUUAAUAUCACAUCCAUCUCCACCACUCCUGACAAAGUCUAGUUCUAACAAAUUGCACUACUCCAGCAGUCAGCAGUAAGGGAGGUUGAGAAUGCACAGUCAUCUUUUAUUUGAAUGAGUCCACUGCUAUUUCCAUUUCAGCACUUGAAAAACAUCUGAAUGACUCCCUGGCGUAUUCAGU